rnacentral:rRNA from 1 species
CCUACGGGUGGCAGCAGUGAGGAAUAUUGGUCAAUGGGCGCUAGCCUGAACCAGCGAAGUAGCGUGAAGGAUGACUGCCCUAUGGGUUGUAAACUUCUUUUGUAUGGGAAUAAAGUGCAGUAUGUAUACUGCUUUGCAUGUACCUUAUGAAUAAGGAUCGGCUAACUCCGUGCCAGCAGCCGCGGUAAUACGGAGGAUCCAAGCGUUAUCCGGAUUUAGUGGGUUUAAAGGGAGCGUAGGCGGGUUGUUAAGUCAGUGGUGAAAGUUUGCGGCUCAACCGUAAAAUUGCAGUUGAUACUGGCAGCCUUGAGUACAGUAGAGGUAGGCGGAAUUCGUGGUGUAGCGGUGAAAUGCUUAGAUAGCACGAAGAACUCCGAUUGCGAAGGCAGCCUGCUGGACUGUAACUGACGCUGAUGCUCGAAAGUGUGGGGAUCAAACAGGAUUAGAUACCCCGGUAGUC